rnacentral:misc_RNA from 1 species
AAGUCGUAAACAAGGUUUCCGUAUGGUGAACCUGCGGGAGGAUCAUUAAAGAAUAUCGAGCUUCACAAGCUCUUAUUCUCACCCUUUGUAUAUCAAACUUUGCUGCUUUGGCAGUCGCCUUUUAGGGCCUGCCAGAGGACCGAAACCCUAGAAUCUCUGCCGUCUGAGUACUAUAUAAUAGUUAAAA